AUGUGUUGUUGAUGUACUGAACACGAAAUAAUGCCUUUUCUUUUUAUGUUUGUUGUGGUUUAAAGCAUAUGUUGCUGGCAACCGAAACUGUUUGAUAUCGGCAUUUCCAAUGGGUUAAACACUUGCUGGAAGCUCGAGUCCAGACAUAGAAUUGAGUUGCAGCUUAUGACCAAGAGAUUGGAGUAAGGCCGAGAGAGCAAAGUUUGCUGGCCUAACACUUACCAUGGGGGAGAUGUUGAUUGGAGAAAAAAGAGGGAUUCCUUCCGACCAACCUCCAAAGUGCGAAAAUGAAAAAGAAGAAAGAAAAGGGAGCACCAAGAGUGGGAGGGGGCAAAUUUCUCUCCAUUGAGCUGAAGGUGAUGGAAUGAUUUUCCUCGAAGCAAACCUCAAAGGUGCUUAUAAAAAAAGAAAAGAAAAGAAAAAGAAACAUAUGGGGGCACCAAGACGGUGAGCUGAAGGUGAUGUGUUUUGGAUGAUCAUAAAUCUCAUUUUGUUCCGUUCUUCUUGGUAGACAAUAUUUGUGUGUUUUACAAUUCACAGGUACACAUAAAUGCUUUAUAUUCUCCCUGCUGCCAAGGUGUAUGCCUAGCUCUGUCUUCAAACACUGCUUUAUAGUGCUCAGAUGAGGCCUUCAAGUGUAUUUUCAUACUGAGGAAAAUUGCUGGCCAAUGAAGCUCAACCAAGAGGUUGUGAAGAAACAGAGCUUCCAACGUUUCAUCUUGGUGAUGAAGCCUUGAAGCCCAUGUCCUCUUGAAUAGCCUAUUCUCACGUCCUUAAUUUGUUAACUUGAACGUGCUCAUCUUCUUUGGGCAUCCCACGUGAGCCAAGAGUCGUCCUACAUUAAGAGAUGGAUUGUGCGCUGUGGAUUGUUCAACAAAGGAGAUGAAU